rnacentral:rRNA from 1 species
AGAGUUUGAUCAUGGCUCAGAUUGAACGCUGGCGGCAGGCCUAACACAUGCAAGUCGAGCGGUAGAGGGGUGCUUGCACCUCUUGAGAGCGGCGGACGGGGUGAGUAAUGCCUAGGAAUCUGCCUGGUAGUGGGGGGAUAACGUUCGGAAACGGACGCUAAUACCGCAUACGUCCUACGGGAGAAAGCAGGGGACCUUCGGGCCUUGCGCUAUCAGAUGAGCCUAGGUCGGAUUAGCUAGUUGGUGAGGUAAUGGCUCACCAAGGCGACGAUCCGUAACUGGUCUGAGAGGAUGAUCAGUCACACUGGAACUGAGACACGGUCCAGACUCCUACGGGAGGCAGCAGUGGGGAAUAUUGGACAAUGGGCGAAAGCCUGAUCCAGCCAUGCCGCGUGUGUGAAGAAGGUCUUCGGAUUGUAAAGCACUUUAAGUUGGGAGGAAGGGUUGUAGAUUAAUACUCUGCAAUUUUGACGUUACCGACAGAAUAAGCACCGGCUAACUCUGUGCCAGCAGCCGCGGUAAUACAGAGGGUGCAAGCGUUAAUCGGAAUUACUGGGCGUAAAGCGCGCGUAGGUGGUUUGUUAAGUUGGAUGUGAAAGCCCCGGGCUCAACCUGGGAACUGCAUUCAAAACUGACUGACUAGAGUAUGGUAGAGGGUGGUGGAAUUUCCUGUGUAGCGGUGAAAUGCGUAGAUAUAGGAAGGAACACCAGUGGCGAAGGCGACCACCUGGACUGAUACUGACACUGAGGUGCGAAAGCGUGGGGAGCAAACAGGAUUAGAUACCCUAGUAGUCC